GACGAACGCUGGCGGCGUGCUUAACACAUGCAAGUCGAACGGAAAGGCCCUGCUUCUGUGGGGUGCUCGAGUGGCGAACGGGUGAGUAACACGUGAGUAACCUGCCCUUGACUUUGGGAUAACUUCAGGAAACUGGGGCUAAUACCGGAUAGGAGCUCCUGCUGCAUGGUGGGGGUUGGAAAGUUUCGGCGGUUGGGGAUGGACUCGCGGCUUAUCAGCUUGUUGGUGGGGUAGUGGCUUACCAAGGCUUUGACGGGUAGCCGGCCUGAGAGGGUGACCGGCCACAUUGGGACUGAGAUACGGCCCAGACUCCUACGGGAGGCAGCAGUGGGGAAUAUUGCACAAUGGGCGGAAGCCUGAUGCAGCAACGCCGCGUGCGGGAUGACGGCCUUCGGGUUGUAAACCGCUUUCGCCUGUGACGAAGCGUGAGUGGCGGUAAUGGGUAAAGAAGCACCGGCUAACUACGUG
rnacentral:rRNA from 1 species